GACGAACGCUGGCGGCGUGCUUAACACAUGCAAGUCGAACGGUAAGGCCCUUCGGGGUACACGAGUGGCGAACGGGUGAGUAACACGUGGGUGAUCUGCCCUGCACUUCGGGAUAAGCCUGGGAAACUGGGUCUAAUACCGGAUAGGACCCUGGGAUGCAUGUCCUGGGGUGGAAAGCUUUUGCGGUGUGGGAUGGGCCCGCGGCCUAUCAGCUUGUUGGUGGGGUGAUGGCCUACCAAGGCGACGACGGGUAGCCGGCCUGAGAGGGUGACCGGCCACACUGGGACUGAGAUACGGCCCAGACUACUACGGGAGGCAGCAGUGGGGAAUAUUGCACAAUGGGCGCAAGACUGAUGCAGCGACGCCGCGUGAGGGAUGGCGGCCUUCGGGUUGUAAACCUCUUUCAGCACCGACGAAGCGCAAGUGACGGUAGGUGCAGAAGAAGGACCGGCCAACUACGUGCCAGCAGCCGCCGUAA
rnacentral:rRNA from 1 species